UACGUAGGGUGCAAGCGUUAAUCGGAAUUACUGGGCGUAAGCGUGCGUAGACGGUUAUGUAAGUCAGAUGUGAAAGCCCCGGGCUCAACCUGGGAAUUGCAUUUGAGACUGCAUAGCUAGGGUGCGGAAGAGGGAAGCGGAAUUUCCGGUGUAGCGGUGAAAUGCGUAGAUAUCUGGAGGAACACCGGUGGCGAAGGCGGCAUCCUGGACCGGCAUUGACGCUGAGGCGCGAAAGCUAGGGGAGCAAACGGG
rnacentral:rRNA from 1 species